UCAGCAACCAGACUCAACAUCUGGACAUCACUCACCUCUGUCACACAUGUGCAGAAGUCCACGCCCACUGUUGUGAUUCUGUUGAAGCUGUGCUCCGAUUGGUCGUCACUGCUCUGAUGGGCGUGGCUGCUGCGGCUGCUGCUGUUCUUCUGGUCAAUGACGUCAGAUCUACGAGAGGUUAACAGGAGAAAACAGAACAGAUAUUAUAAAUAUUGUGACAUAUAUUGGAGAUUUAAUUAGAAAUGAUGA